rnacentral:lncRNA from 1 species
CGAACUUAACUUGUUUCGGCAACUUUGACGUCCAAUUUUGCUCAAAUUCUUUCCUUUAUCACUCUUUGACUUCUUUUGGACCUAAUGCACACAAACAGACGCAUAGGGUGGGUGUUGGGACCAAUUCACAUCUAAAUGUACAUGAUCAGUCUUAAAAACCCAUUUAGAUGUGUGUAUUUUACGCACAUCAAGUUCAUAAUAUUUACUGCAUUGAUUUAACUAUUUGAGGCGAUGCAAUAAUUAUUUUACUAAAUCAGAUAGUUGAGGUGGUGCAAUAAUCUUUUCAGAUACUUAACGCGGUGCAAUGGAGAACCUUGAUGCAAAGACUUUUUUAAAUAUUACGUAUAAAAUAUGAAGAAUAAGAAAGAGUCAGUUGGUUUGAGAAGUUGAAGGCAGUGAAGAGAUGUUUUAGGAGAAAAUACAGAAAAAAAUUAUCAUGUUGCAGGAAGAUGUAGAAUUCCACUACACCACUUUCUUGAUAAUAAUUUUAUGUAUUCAGUUGUUGAGAAAGUUGGAGAGUUUGAUGACACCACUUCUUUAAAGAUAGCCUCGCGUAUUUGACUACUUCAAACAAGUUGCUUCCUUAACGAUGUGGUUUGAAGCAGUUAUCAAAACAUGAUUACCAAGUUGAAGAAGUCUAUAAAUUAAGGAGCUCAACACAAAAACAGACAAGACAAUUAUUACAACAGAAAUUAUAUCAACAAAUCAACAAUAUUUAGCAAUAUUUUUUUGUAGAGUUGUAGGUUUUUACUUAUUCAAUUUAUUUUAGUUUUUUAAUUCCCUAAGCUUAGAUUUAUUUUAAUAUUUAUAAAUUUUUUUCUCAAAUUUGUAUAUAUUUUCAAAUUUAAUAUAUAAUUUUUAUUUUUUAAAAUAUUAAUAUUUUCACGUUAAUUUCAAUUUUAACCUCCGAUAAAAUUAUCAAUAAAAAUUUACUAACAUAGUUAUAAUUUUGAUAAUAAAAAAGUUAAAUCAUUACUAAAGUUGCUAGGUUUUUGAGAAAGUCUUGUUUUUAUCAUUUAUGUUUAAAAUCUUAGAGUUACUUUAGCAGUAAUAACAAACAACAAAAAAAGAAAAAAGAAAUAAUAGAUGAGAAGUAAAUUGUUAGUUUUUAUCUAAAAUAUUUUUCAAAAAAUUAUAUAACUAGUUGUUUAUCCGUGCAUUGCAUGUCUUUUAUUAUUAUUUCAAUUAUACAAUUAAGUUUAUAAAUACAAUUUAAUAAAUAAUUAAAUAUUUAAUAUUAAUUUAUAAUAUUUUAAAAAAUAAUAGCAAACUAACUAUUUUUAAAUAUUAUUUUUAUAAAGUUUGAAUUAUUAGUGCAACAAUAUAAAGAUUAUUUUAAAGAUAUUUAUUAAUUAAUUUUGGUAUUAUAUAACUUACUACCAUAAUCGAUAUUACUAUUUUUAAAAAUAAAAAUUUAUUAUGUAAUUUAAAAAUUAAUUUAUUAUUAAAUAUAAAAUUAAAAAUAUUAUUUCUUAAAAUUAAAAUUACUAUCUAGUUAAAAUUAUAUUAAAAAUAUAACUAAUAUACUAUUUUAAAGAUAGAAAUAGUCUCAUUAGAUGAUUAAGAAACUAUUUAUUAGUUAAUAUGAUAUUAAAAUAUAAUUAAUAUGCUAUUUAUUAGAAUUAAAGUUAGUGUUUAAUUAGGAAUAUAACUUGUUAAUCAAUAAAUGAAUUAAAAAAUUAUAAAAUAUAAUAUUAAAUUAUAAUUACUAUACUUUUUUCUAGAAUAUAAUUAGUAUCAUUAUCUGAUUAUGAAACUAUUUAUUAGUUAAUGUAAUAUUAAAAUUAAAUUAUAUGUUAUUUAUUAGAAUUAGAGUUAGUGUUUAAUUAGGAAAUAACUUAUUAAUUAAUAAAUUAAUAGAAAAAAUUACAAAAUUACACAUAAGCUUAAUUCUAUGUGUAAGAAAUAAUACAUAUGUCAAAAUAAAAAUUUUACGUGUUAAAAAUUAAGCAUACGUGUCAAAAAAAUUUUAAGUCUCAAAAAUUAAUAUAUAUAUUAAGUCAUUUGUUUAUUUAUUUAACUAAUAUUAUUUUUAGCUGUAAAAUAAGUCAAUAAUUUUAAUAGUAAUUUAAUUUAAUUUAAUUUUUUUAUUAUUACUAGAAUUAUAACCGUAUCAUAAAAUUUUAAUUGACAAUUUCACCAUAAAUUAAAAUUAAAAUUAAAAUAUAUUCUUAGAUUAAAAGAAAAAUCUAACAACUAUGUGCUAUAUUUAAAAAUAAUUUAAAUUACAGGAUCAAUCCUCGGUCAAAUUGUAAUCCUAGCAAAUGACAAAAUAUCAAAAUCUAGCGCACACGAUAGGAUAUUGAUGUCCAAAAUAUGAACUCUUGUGCCGACUAAAAGGACAUAAAAGUGACCAUUUGAUUACGUACUUACCAAUUGUCAAUUCAGGAGAUGAUCACAAAAUUUGCGCGUAGUAGAGUAGGUAAUUGCUUUUGGGGUCUCCAAUUUUGAAUACUAAAUUGGAAAUGAUUGCCAAACUUUUUAAGAUAAGAAAGACUAAAUUACCAAGAAAAGAAAAGGUUGCUAUCUAGUUUAUAAGUUUGGCUUCAUCUUCCCCACAUUCUCUUACAAACCCAAAUUGAUAAAACUCCCAAGCAUUCCACAAUUUACGGCUAACAACAGCAACCCAUCUCAAGAACAUCAUGAUAACAGUGUCGGUCAUAGCAGAACUACUGGAAGAAUGCACCUUUGCUCUAGCAAGAUUUACUGAGCAGCUGUUCCAGCCUCGCCAAAGCAGCCGCACUAAUGGGUUUCGUGCCUUCAGGAAUUUUCAUUCCUCUUCUUCUCUUUCAUCAUCAUCUGCCUUUACCCAAGACUCCACCUCUUUCAUUGUUUACUUCUGAUAAUGCCCACAUCCGUAUUUCUCUUUCUCUUUCUCUUUCUCUUUCUAGUUUCUUGAUUCUUUAUGAUCACCUUCUUCUUUCUCAGACUUCUUUUUUUGUAUUCAAGGCCUUUUCAUUUCUAUGAGGUUUUUUUGGUUUCUUUUCUUUGAUUCUCUUUUUACUCCGUAAAUAUAAUUAUAAGAAUUUCCUUUAUUUAUUUUUGUCUUCUUUGUUUAUUGAUUUUAUGAGAUUCAUUCAUAGUCCCACAC